CCUACGGGUGGCUGCAGUGAGGAAUAUUGGUCAAUGGACGAGAGUCUGAACCAGCAAAGUAGCGUGAAGGAUGACUGCCCUAUGGGUUGUAAACUUCUUUUAUAUGGGAAUAAAACGUUCCACGUGUGGGAUUUUGUAUGUACCAUAUGAAUAAGGAUCGGCUAACUCCGUGCCAGCAGCCGCGGUAAUACGAGGGAACCGAGCGUUAUCCGGAUUUAUUGGGUUUAAAGGGAGCGUAGGUGGAUUGUUAAGUCAGUUGUGAAAGUUUGCGGCUCAACCGUAAAAUUGCAGUUGAAACUGGCAGUCUUGAGUACAGUAGAGGUGGGCGGAAUUCGUGGUGUAGCGGUGAAAUGCUUAGAUAUCACGAAGAACUCCGAUUGCGAAGGCAGUUCACUGGACUGCAACUGACACUGAGGCUCGAAAGUGUGGGUAUCAAACAGGAUUAGAUACCCUUGUAGUC
rnacentral:rRNA from 1 species